GCAGUGGUGGUUCAGUGGUAGAAUUCGUAACUUUCAUGUGGGAGACCUGGGUUCAAUUCCUGGCCAAUGCA
rnacentral:tRNA from 1 species